rnacentral:lncRNA from 1 species
CGCGCCCUCCCCGCGGCAGGUGGGCCGGAGCUGCGCGGUUGCGUAUGCACUUGUAGGCUUUUUUAACCCACCUCCUCCCCCCUUUUUUUUUUGGUUUCGAUAACUUUAUUGCGAUAGCUGCAGCGUGUUCACGUUCCUAAAACCUGCGGGAUUCCCAGUAGCCCCCGGUCCUUUUCCGAGUUCCUGCGACCUUAAAGUCAGUGUGUUAAAUAAAUACUCCAUGCAUGCAGGUGUGAAAUACGACCAGCGAGGGACUGGAAAUCCAUGAAGACUGUGUGCCAAAGAAGACUUACUCAGAUGACAUCACCUUUGGACUACUAAUGCUACCCACCCACUCUACAAGGCACAAUGUAUUUCUAGGUAAUUUAACAAAUUUAGGGAGAAGCCCAUUCUUUCAUUUGCAAACUCUUCUGGAAAUCUGUUUGGAUCUUGUAUACUGAACAUCAGUGAAACUAGGUAAGUCUGAAUUUGAGUUUGGUUAUUCUAAGCAACUAAUGAACUAAUUGCAUGUGAAAAAAAGGUAAAUUAAUCCUGUUUGUAAUUUACAGUUCUUGGAGAAAUUUUGGCGUGUAACCUCAAAUCUAGAGGAUUAAAUUAUAAUGUAAAUUACAUAGCCCAGAAAAUGAAGGGCAGAGAUUAAGCAAUAUAUCCCUGGCUUUACAUCUUAGGUAAAAGCGUGUAUAUACCAAAUAUAUUUUAUCUACUGUUUCUUUAGUGAAGUUAUUGCAUUCCACAGAUCCCUUGAUGAGCUUUCCUUAGUAUUUCUUUGUUCCUGUGGCUGUUCCCUGAGACGAUGUUUAGAACCAGGCUAAUUUCAGUCUUACAGUAGACUAAUAUUCCUGUGUCAUUAAUCUCAUUUUUCUCAAUUUCCAUAGUUGGUUAGCACAGGGUUUAGAGAUCAAUUUGAGUCAUUGCAGUAAGCCCAUGAUCGCCUUUACCCCUUUUAAAUUUUGAGUUAGGGGAAGUUAAAUCACAGUAGUAGUGCUUACAAACCAUUCUCAGACUAUACUAUCUGACUUUCCAGGGGAAAAACAAUACUGACACCUCUGUCUAAAAGUUCAGAGAUGCAAGAAUAUUUACAUUUCCCUUACUGUAUUUAAUAGCACAGGUAAUAGGAGGAAAUGAAUAAGUAAACGAGAGAAAGGCUGAAAGAAAUAAGGUAGAAAGAAGAGAAGUAAAAUAUUUGAAGUGAGAAAAUAGGACAUAAAAGAUGAAGUAAAUAAGUGAAGAGAAAUAAAGCCUAAGAAAUAGGUAUAUCUAGAUUUAUA